rnacentral:rRNA from 1 species
GUGGGGAAUUUUGGACAAUGGGCGCAAGCCUGAUCCAGCCAUGCCGCGUGCAGGAUGAAGGCCUUCGGGUUGUAAACUGCUUUUGUACGGAACGAAAAGACUCUGGUUAAUACCUGGGGUCCAUGACGGUACCGUAAGAAUAAGCACCGGCUAACUACGUGCCAGCAGCCGCGGUAAUACGUAGGGUGCGAGCGUUAAUCGGAAUUACUGGGCGUAAAGCGUGCGCAGGCGGUUAUGUAAGACAGAUGUGAAAUCCCCGGGCUCAACCUGGGAACUGCAUUUGUGACUGCAUAGCUAGAGUACGGCAGAGGGGGAUGGAAUUCCGCGUGUAGCAGUGAAAUGCGUAGAUAUGCGGAGGAACACCGAUGGCGAAGGCAAUCCCCUGGGCCUGUACUGACGCUCAUGCACGAAAGCGUGGGGAGCAAACAGGAUUAGAAACCCUAGUAGUCC